GAUGUUCCUUUAAUAACAUUCUGUUAUGCUUAUGGGUACAGGUAUCACAUUUUAUUAAACUCUACACCUGACAAUGUGUAGGUUUGCCAUAUCUGCUGGUUAGGAAAAUAUGAUUAUGAGCUAGGCCAGAUUAUAACAAGACCGUUAAGUUGCUUCCGUAUACUUUUCAAUGGCAACUUGGUUUGUUUGCAUGACAAAAUAAUCUGUUAAAUGUCAAUACUCGGUUGUUGAAGUACAAUUUCUUUUUGUAUCACAUUUUAUUAAACUCUACACCUGACAAUGUGUAGGUUUGCCAUAUCUGCUGGUUAGGAAAAUAUGAUUAUGAGCUAGGCCAGAUUAUAACAAGACCAUUAAGUUGCUUCCGUAUACUUUUCAAUGGCAACUUGGUUUGUUUGCGUGACAAAAUAAUCUGUUAAAUGUCAAUACUCUGUUGUUGAAGUACAAUUUCUUUUUGUGAGGGCCAU
rnacentral:lncRNA from 1 species